UUUGGAGCUGCUCUCUCUGCUGUACUUCUGCUUUUUCUUUCCAUCUGAAACCAAACUGACAGCUUUCCACUGGCCCUAACUUGUUCAACUGCUGGGACUUGCAUGGAAGAAUGGCUUACGGCUUGGGGAUUUAUGAAACUGUGUCCUCCCAAUGGCAGUAUUGCCUC